AUCAAAAGUGAGGAACAAUAUAUUUAUGUUGUGUUGUCAAUAGUAAGAGAAACAAUCGAGACCCUGCAAUCGCGUGUUAACGAGGCAGAAAGUCAGACGAGCGACCUGGGACUCGGUCACAAUUUUAGGGAUGCCACGUAGCAGGAAGAUCUACCACGGACGACACAUUACGCUUCCAAUAUUGUCCGCGGAGGUGGUAUCUACCCGUUUGGUUGCUGCCUAAGUAUGUAAGAUUUUCCAAUGGAAAGUGUAUGUUUGGCAAAUGUAUCCAGGUCUUUAGAGAAUGUACUCAGAUAUUUGGGUUAGUUGUCAAGGGUUCAUGUAUAAUUUGCAUGCCUAAUUGACUAUGUAUAUUUUUUAACCUUAAUUUUUCAUUUGCAGUCACCCGACGGGAGUCAGAAACGUCAUUUUUGUGCGGACCGGCGACUCGACGGACCCCGGGCGAGGAUGCCGCUCGAACCGCGGUUGCGGAGGAGCGCGCCGAUACGAGUCGGAGACGGCUCGUACAGUCGGCGCACGAGAGCGGUCCAGACGAAGACAUUCGGGAACCGAGGACGAAGACGCUCGUCAACUGCGGACGAAGACACCGGUCGACGCGCGAGGAAGAUGCUCCGGAACACGGGAAGAACGCCACACUCCCGAGUGCGGAAAGACACUCGUCGACGCAGAAGGAGACACGCAUCAAUGUCGUAUUGCGACGUGCCGGGCCAGCGUGAUUGUUUUAAAGACGAUUUAAUGUGUAAAAUGAAUGUACGUGUUGUUUGUAACGAUUGUUAUAAUGUUUGUAGUAUUGUUUUUAGAGACCGACUCUGCGAAGACGGAGGAAGUCGAUACAUGUCGAGAAUGAAUUUAUUGAAGAUGUUGCCUGUGAUCACUAGGUGUUUGCACUAAUUUGGGGAGAAGAUUACGAUCGUAGAACGUCACGGAAUGCGGCGCGCACGUCAUUUGUGGCGGGACGCAUCCG